CUGAGCUUCGAUGUCUGAGGAAGGGUCUCAAGCUCCCCUCAGACAAGAACUCCACCCUUUGUUUACAUUACCUUUGUUGCUUUAGCAGGCCCGCCCUUGGGCCACCGGCUUCCAGCUGGUCAGUGCCUGCUAAAGGACCUAAAACUCUUGUUAAUAAUAUUGUCUGAGUACUAUAUAAUAGUUA
rnacentral:misc_RNA from 1 species